GCGCUGAUAGCUCAACUAGGCAGAGCAACGGAUUCUUAAUCCGUAGGUUGAGGGUUCGAUUCCCUCUCAGCGCA
rnacentral:tRNA from 2 species